rnacentral:rRNA from 1 species
UACGUAGGGUGCAAGCGUUAAUCGGAAUUACUGGGCGUAAAGCGUGCGCAGGCGGUUUUGUAAGUCUGACGUGAAAUCCCCGGGCUCAACCUGGGAAUUGCGUUGGAGACUGCAAGGCUAGAAUCUGGCAGAGGGGGGUAGAAUUCCACGUGUAGCAGUGAAAUGCGUAGAGAUGUGGAGGAACACCGAUGGCGAAGGCAGCCCCCUGGGUCAAGAUUGGACGCUCAUGCACGAAAGCGUGGGGAGCAAACGAGGAU